rnacentral:rRNA from 1 species
GACGAACGCUGGCGGCGUGCCUAAUACAUGCAAGUCGAGCGGACCUUCGGGGUCAGCGGCGGACGGUGAGUAACACGUGGGCAAUCUGCCUAUCAGACUGGAAUAACGCCUGGAAACGGUGCUAAUGCCAGAUAGUCAACGAAGAGGCCUCUCGUUUGUUGGGAAAGACGCAAUUGUGUCGCUGAUAGAGGAGCCCGCGGCGCAUUAGCUAGUUGGUGGGGUAACGGCCUACCAAGGCGACGAUGCGUAGCCGACCUGAGAGGGUGGACGGCCACACUGGGACUGAGACACGGCCCAGACUCCUACGGGAGGCAGCAGUAGGGAAUCUUCCGCAAUGGGCGCAAGCCUGACGGAGCAACGCCGCGUGAGCGAAGAAGGCCUUCGGGUUGUAAAGCUCAGUCACUCGGGAAGAGUGGACGAAGGAGUGGAAAGCCUUCGUCGAGACGGUACCGAGAGAGGAAGCCCCGGCUAACUACGUG